rnacentral:rRNA from 1 species
UGAAGAUUACUAAGGGCGCACGGUGGAUGCCUUGGCAUCAGGAGCCGAUGAAGGACGUGGCAAUCUGCGAUAUGCCUCGGGGAGCCGAUAAGCGGGCUGUGAUCCGAGGAUUUCCGAAUGGGGAAACCCCGUCGUCUGUGAGGGCGAUGACCUGUAUCUGAAUACAUAGGGUGCAGGGGGGAACGCGGGGAAGUGAAACAUCUCAGUACCCGCAGGAAGAGAAAACAACAGUGAUUCCGUGAGUAGUGGCGAGCGAAAGCGGAAGUGGCUAAACCGUCUGUGUGUGAUACCCGGCAGGGGUUGCAUGGGCGGGGUUGUGGGAGCAUCAGUGCCCGGUCUGCCGGCUGGGUCGUGUGAGUGCAGCGUGAUAGUCGAAUCAUCUUGAGUGGUGUGCCGUAGAGGGUGUGAGUCCCGUAGACGAAAUCAUUGUUGCCGCGCGUGGUGUUUCCCGAGUAGCACGGAGCCCGUGAAACUUCGUGUGAAUCUGCCAGGACCACCUGGUAAGCCUGAAUACUACCUGAUGACCGAUAGCGGACCAGUACCGUGAGGGAAAGGUGAAAAGCACCCCGGGAGGGGAGUGAAAUAGUACCUGAAACCGUGUGCCUACAAGCCGUCGGAGCCUUUUGGGGUGACGGCGUGCCUUUUGAAGAAUGAGCCUGCGAGUUAGUGUCAUGUCGCGAGGUUAACCCGUGUGGGGUAGUCGUAGCGAAAGCGAGUCUGAAGAGGGCGUUGAGUGGCGUGAUCUAGACCCGAAGCGAAGUGAUCUACCCAUGGCCAGGUUGAAGCGCGUGUAAGAGCGCGUGGAGGACCGAACCCACUUCAGUUGAAA